CACACAUAUCUUUAAGGUACAUGUGUAUCAUUUUAAUUAUUGUUCUUUUUAAUUACUAAAACUAUUACUUUCAACAGAAUGAGAUAAUAAUGACACAGCAAUGUAUAUGAACAUAUUUUCGUACAUGUGCAUACAAUGUGUCAUUGAACUCACAAUGGCCAAGGAUCUUGGAAAGCUCUUUCUCAAAAAGUCUGGAGGCGGUUUUUUAAAAAACCAUCUUAAAUGAGAUAAGGUGGAAAUAAUAUUGGACUAGGAAUUAAGAAUCCUGUCCAAGUUUUCAUUUUGAGUUUUACUUAGUGAGCUUAUCAAAUCACCACUCUUCUCCCCACUUUUGCUCCCUGCAAGCGAGCAAAACAAAGCUUCCCUUGGCCAGGAGUUUUUGCAUCAAAUGAGAAUGCACGCAAAAGGGCCUUGAAAGGUUUAAAGUACUACAUAGCACUGUUUCUAGCUUACUUAAAAAAGGGAGCUCAUACGUAAAUGAAGACAUUAUCAGUAGGCUUUAGAGGAGGACUGAGGCCGAGGAGGAUUCUUUGAGGGAAUAACGCUUAAGUCAAGAAAAAGUCUGUUUGAAACAGAACAGGGAAAAUUAUAAGUAAUUCAGCUGCAGCAUUUAGUCUGUUAGAGAUGAGAAAUCUCUCCUGUUAGCUAGCAUUUUCCUUCCAGGUUGUCAUAUUGAGAUAAUGCAUGUAUAAAGACAAUUCUGAUGGGCCUGACCCUCCCCAUGAGCUCCUUUACUCCUGCCUUGCCUUGCUCUCAGAAACCAUCAUUCUUUUAUGCUACCUUGCCUCUAGUUCUUGUUGGUAAAUGUAUGGGUCUGAUGUAUGCUUGGCUGAAUUAAUCUAGAAUUUGUGCUAAGGGGAUUAUUGGUGGCUGCACCACUGCUAUCUCUCCACCACUACUUUCCUAUUCCCUGUGAAGAGCUAUUGCUUCCUGUGUCUGUCUACCUUGACCUCUUCUUGACUGGAUAGCAUGCCAGCCUCUUAAGAGGCAUGAGCAAUUGUGACAGAGACUAGACUGAGUAAUGGGGUGACAGCAUCUUCCAUUAGAGCUGUACUCACUAUGAAUGCAUCUGUAAUCCAUAAGAGGGCCCGAGGAAAAACACAAUGAAAACCUUUCAAGACUGAUUCAAUUAAGAGCCUCCCAGGAGGGACUGAGCACCAACAAUGGAAAAUUCAAUAUUGAGCUCAUAGAAAGACACUUCAUCUCAUAAAUGUCCUUUUUCCUCUGCUGUAUAAGGAAAAAAAUUCUGCAGCAACCCUUAGAAAAAUAUGGCAUUUGAUUUUUGAAAAAGCCCUACCGCUUUCAAAUUCUUUAAUACCAGUAUUCAUAGGAAAUUCAUUAGGGGAGAUGUGAGAUUAUAAAAUGAAUGGUUGCAGUGUCUAAAGCCAAUUGUUUGGAUGUGCGGUUGAAAUCCAACAUGAAAUUAUCUGUGUCUAUAACCCUAGGCAAGGUUGAAAAAGAAGAGUGGCUGUUAGACUUGAUAUGGCAGUGUGGGUGCCAAUAACUCUGUUCUUUACCUUAUAUGUGAAAAAAAGGAAUAUAAUGUGCAACCUCUUUCCAAAAACCAGAUUCAGUAUUCAGCAACAUUCAGGGAACAAGCUGGGUUUUUUUUUUCCCUAAAAGUAGAUUGUAAUAGUUUAUCAGCAUGUGUAUGGCUUAUAAAGGGCUUUUGAGCUGUUUAUAGGAAAAUGUUCAAUAAGAUCCAAUUUUGCAGCAGGAGCAAAAUAGACUCAACAGGUGAAUGUGAAUUAUCGUUCAUGUCUUUAGGUGUAAUAAUGGCAUCAUGGUUACGUUUUUAAAAGGAGUUUGAAAUAAUUAUAGAUUAAAUGGUAUGAUGUCUGAGAUUAGUUUCAAAAUAAGCCAGGCUAGGCAGAGGUGGGGAGGGAGGGGCACAGAUAUAGGUGAAAACACAUUGACCAUGAGUUGAUCAUUGGUGUAGCUGGUGAUGAGCGUGUAUAGGUGGCAGGAUCUUUAUACUAUUGUAUUUUACCUUAUGUAUAUAUAUGAAGCUUUCAAUAAUAAAAAUUAAAAACCAAAAUAUGAAACUUAGUACUGUUUUAUAUACAGGAUGAGAGACUCAGAUUAUGAAUUGUUUGACUUAAGAUAGGAUUCCCUAUGUGACAAAGGAAAUCAAGUAUGGAAGUCAGUGUUGCUUCCUGGUAAGUCUUUUGCACAGGGCUCAUUACAUCUGACCAACCGGAAGAGGCGUGAAUCAGCUUUGCUCUGAGAUGCGACAUUGACAGAUGGUGUGAAAAAUUUAAAUGGCAGAUGGUGGUGAUUAUUAAACAAUAAACAGUGGCAAUUUAUCAGGAACCAAACAGAAAAUAGCUACUUUUUGUUCCUGGUGAUGCAUCUAAAUUGUCCUUUGUUAUGCAAUCGAUAUUUUAACACCCUGACAGGUGUGCUCCUCUAAGACUGUGGAAGUUUAGAAGUACAGCAAGUUUUAAACUAUAGCUCAAUGUUAACUAUCAUUCCCCAGAAUAGAACUUGAAUAUAUUAAAUUAAACAAACAGUCCACUGAGGGACAGACUUUGAAGUAACCAUAGAACAGAACAUUUUAACUUAGAAUUUGCAUCUCAGAUGUUUUAACAGGUUAUCAAAAAAUUUCAUAAGCAUAAAUUACCAAAAACUUACCUAGGCUCAGGGCUCACCCUAAGGAUUAUAAAAAAUGGACAUGAGGUGCGCCUAGGUGGCUCAGUCUGUUGAGUGUC